rfam:Myotis lucifugus cont2.43976, whole genome shotgun sequence.
AGAGGUGAGGGCUAUCUGGCUGCGACAUCUGUCAUCUCAUUGAUCGCCAGUGUUGAUUCGGCUGAUCUGGCUGGCUAGAUGGGUGUCCCCCUCCUCCCUCACCGAUCCAUGUGCAUCCCUCCCGAAGCUCGGUCCAAGAGGAGGGCCUCGGUCCAGAGGAGAGGACCGGGACCCAG